UGCCAGCAGCCGCGGUAAUACGUAGGGUGCGAGCGUUAAUCGGAAUUACUGGGCGUAAAGCGUGCGCAGGCGGUUUGCCAAGUCAGAUGUGAAAGCCCCGGGCUCAACCUGGGAAUGGCGUUUGAAACUGGCAAGCUAGAGUCUGGCAGAGGGGGGUGGAAUUCCACGUGUAGCAGUGAAAUGCGUAGAGAUGUGGAGGAACACCGAUGGCGAAGGCAGCCCCCUGGGCCAAGACUGACGCUCAUGCACGAAAGCGUGGGGAGCAAACAGGAUUAGAUA
rnacentral:rRNA from 1 species